ACGAACGCUGGCGGCGUGCUUAACACAUGCAAGUCGAACGAUGAAGCCUUUUGGGGUGGAUUAGUGGCGAACGGGUGAGUAACACGUGGGCAAUCUGCCCUUCACUCUGGGACAAGCCCUGGAAACGGGGUCUAAUACCGGAUAACACUCUGUCCUGCAUGGGACGGGGUUAAAAGCUCCGGCGGUGAAGGAUGAGCCCGCGGCCUAUCAGCUUGUUGGUGGGUAAUGGCCUACCAAGGCGACGACGGGUAGCCGGCCUGAGAGGGCGACCGGCCACACUGGGACUGAGACACGGCCCAGACUCCUACGGGAGGCAGCAGUGGGGAAUAUUGCACAAUGGGCGAAAGCCUGAUGCAGCGACGCCGCGUGAGGGAUGACGGCCUUCGGGUUGUAAACCUCUUUCAGCGGGGAAGAAGCGAAAGUGACGGUACCUGCAGAAGAAGCGCCGGCUAACUACGU
rnacentral:rRNA from 1 species